GUCGGCGUUUCCGACCCGCCUGGCUCAAUCGCUGGGGGCAGAGGUCGACGGACCUCAGAGAGCAAAGGUAUCCGGGCAGAGCCUGACGCAGAGUGUGUGUGUAUGUGUGUGUGUGCUUCCAGAUCGGCCACAGGUCUCAGAGUGUGUGUGUAUGUGUGUGUGUGCUUCCAGAUUGGCCACAGGUCUCAGAGUGUGUGUGUGUGUGUGUGUGUGUGUGUGCUUCCAGAUCGGCCACAGGUCUCAGAGUGUGUGUGUGUGUGUAUGUGUGUGUGUGC
ensembl:lncRNA